GCUGGCGGCAGGCCUAACACAUGCAAGUCGAGCGGAAACGAUGGAAGCUUGCUUCCAGGCGUCGAGCGGCGGACGGGUGAGUAAUGCAUAGGAAUCUGCCCGGUAGUGGGGGAUAACUUGGGGAAACCCAAGCUAAUACCGCAUACGCCCUACGGGGGAAAGCAGGGGAUCUUCGGACCUUGCGCUAUCGGAUGAGCCUAUGUCGGAUUAGCUAGUUGGUGAGGUAAUGGCUCACCAAGGCCGCGAUCCGUAGCUGGUCUGAGAGGAUGAUCAGCCACAUCGGGACUGAGACACGGCCCGAACUCCUACGGGAGGCAGCAGUGGGGAAUAUUGGACAAUGGGCGAAAGCCUGAUCCAGCCAUGCCGCGUGUGUGAAGAAGGCCCUCGGGUUGUAAAGCACUUUCAGUGAGGAAGAACGCUUGUGGGUUAAUACCCUGCAAGGAAGACAUCACUCACAGAAGAAGCACCGGCUAACUCCGUGCCAGCAGCCGCGGUAAUACGGAGGGUGCGAGCGUUAAUCGGAAUUACUGGGCGUAAAGCGCGCGUAGGCGGCUUGAUAAGCCGGUUGUGAAAGCCCCGGGCUCAACCUGGGAACGGCAUCCGGAACUGUCAGGCUAGAGUGCAGGAGAGGAAGGUAGAAUUCCCGGUGUAGCGGUGAAAUGCGUAGAGAUCGGGAGGAAUACCAGUGGCGAAGGCGGCCUUCUGGACUGACACUGACNCUUAGGUGCNAAAGCGUGGGUAGCAAACAGGAUUAGAUACCCUGGUAGUCCACGCCGUAAACNAUGUCGAC
rnacentral:rRNA from 1 species